rnacentral:ncRNA from 1 species
GUGUUGUAUGAAAGGAACAAAACUUAGCACAAAAAACGGAAGAGCUACGAGUGGCCUGCGCAACAUGCAUAUGGUUAACGCACUGCCACUUGCUUUGUGGCAUCUAACCAAGCUUUCUU